CUUGACAAAGAAAAGCAAAUCACCUGAGAAUUAGGAACAACAAAGGAACUUAGUUGUAGGCAAAUGAAGGCUCCAGAUGUGAUUAGUUAACAGAAAAGCUAGGACAGACUAAAAUUCUAAUUCACUCCUCCAGGAGGAAUUAUAUUCAACUGAGACACCCUCCUAGGUCAAUUUAUGACACAAAUGGCAGGCCACUUACAGCCUUCCAAACCGAAUUUAGAACUGCAUUUGCAGAGUUAUCUUGAGGACAAUGGGGAGCCCGUGUGGAGAAGGGCAGACUGUGAUGGGGGCUGAGAGGAAUCUGAGGAGAGCUGCUGAGGAUGGACCAGCAGAAGGAAUAAUUUUGCUUUCUUUGCCCUGUCCUGCAUAAGGGUGUCAAUUAAGUUUAAAAAUGCAUUGAUGGGGUAGAAGUCUGAAAAUGUAUAAAGACCUUUAUAUGUGUUUCAGUGAGCUAUGAAAGUAGAAAGGAGAAAUGGCCAUAUAGAUACAAUUUCUGGUAAAGAGGAACAUUAAUACUAUUUAAGAUAACUAAACUCCAUUCAGAGAAAUACUUAACAUUAUCUAAAGAAGGAAAAUUGAGUUGAGUGAAUGAACUAGUUUUAUGAUAACAAGAUAAUUUGCCAUUCCACACUUUACUUUCUGGUUUUGAAUUUUCUUAGAGCAAUGAGGUCUCAAAGUCAGAUACCAUACAAACAGAAUUAGCACCACCUGGGAAUUGAUUGAAAUAUGCAAAUCCUCAGGCUCUAAUCCAGACCAAUGGCAUCAAAAACUCUGCGGAUAGGCAAUCUGUUUUAACAAGCCACACAUCUAUUUCGAAUGCAUGCUAAAGUUUGAGAACCACUUACCUAGACCAGGCUGAAAAUUGGUUUUAGGGCAGACUACAUGUGGGGAAGAUUCCAUUUGGCAAAUAUCAGUAAAUGCAUUAAAGAAUAAAGGUGAUGGAGUUCCCAUGGCAGCACAGCAGAAAUCAGACUAGUAUCCAUAAGGGCGAAGGUUCGAUCUCUGGCCUUGCUCAGUGGGCUAAGGAUCUGGCAUUGCUGUGAGCUGUAGUGUAGGUUGCAGACACGGCUCAGAUCCCCUGUCGCUGUGGCUGUGGUUGAGGAUGGCAGCUGUAGCUCCAAUUAGACCCCUAGCCUGGGAAAUUCCAUAUGCCACAAGUGCAGCCCUAAAAAAAGGGGGGGGGAUAAAGGUCAAUGGACUAGAUACACUGUCAGAGUGAAAGCUAGUGCGAGAAGAAUUUUCAUGUGUUUUCUUCACUGAAUUCCUGUCUCAUCACCUGUGGCCAUAACCCUGAUUGCUGAAAUCAGCUGCAAAUUGAGAUUCUAGGAUUAGCCUAAACCAUAUAGAGGAAGUUAAUAGAAUUUAGUCUGCUUCCUGCUGAGUCUGGCAUCUCCAGAGGGUUGUUGAGUCUUGAGAAGAAUAGAGUGAGGAAUGGGAGAAGUGCAGGCAAUGAGUCUAGAGAGAUAGGCAGAGACAAUUGAUUCAAGCCAGGUUAAACCUUUGGAUUUUAUCCUAAGGUCAAGUGAAAGCUUAGAGGUGCUUUUAAGCAAUGUAUUGACAAGAUUGUAUUUGUAUUGAAACAUUCUUAUAGCUGCCACUCAUUUAAAAGGACUGGGGUGGGCAAGUAUCAAGAUUGAAAGUAAGGGGGAGUUCCAGAGGUGGCGCAGUGGUUAAUGAAUCUGACGAGGAACCAUGAGGUUGCGGGUUUGGUCGCUGCCCUUGCUCAGUGGGUUGAGGAUCCGGCGUUGCCAUGAGCUGUGGUGUAUGUUGCAGACGCGGCUCGGAUCCUGCGUUGCUGUGGCUCUGGUGUAGGCUGGUGGCUACACCUCCGAUUCGACCCCUAGCCUGGGAACCUCCAUAUGCCACCGGAGCAGCCCAAAGAAAUAGCAAAAAGACCAAAAAGACCAAAAAAAAAAAGACUGAAAGUAAGAAAAAUAAAUUUUUAUUGCUUCGGUCAUUACAGAUUCAUCUGACUUAAAAAUUAAUAACAUAAUGUUCAAAUAAAAUUUAAUGUUAUAUUCAAAAAACCUAACAAAAUUAUGAGAAGCAUGUUGAGAUGAAGAAAAAACACCUAGUGAGUCAGUUUGAAAAAGAGCCCAUUUCAAAACCACAUUCAUAAAACAUAACCCUCAAUAUCUUAGAUUUUUUCUAUUCUCUGACUUAUCUCUAAUUUCUCUGAAUUAUCUCUCAUUAGAUUCUAUUUUAAAUUAUAAUGUAAAAGAAUGUUUCUUGAACAUAGUUCACUCAAAUUCUGGUUAUGCAGAUGCCUGUCCCUGCCAUCAUUAGUCUGAAAAAUCUUUUAAGGGUUAAGAACUUUCAAUAGCCUUGAACAUACCUUUAAAUAAUGCUAAUUGUUCAAAUAUUAUCCAUCAUAGACUUUACUGUGGAGAAGAGAAGCUAAAGUGAAAUUGGCCAGACUUGUAAGACAUAUUGUCAACAAGUUCUUUUCUUAAAAACGAGCAUCAUUGUUUUUUAAAUUUCUUACAUUUCAAAGUAUUCAAUGAUAUGUUUACUGUAAUUACAGUGUCAAAGCUAAUGCAUAACUCCCCAGAAUUUUAUAAACAUACAUCUAUAAAGGUAAAAAUAAAAAAGUAUCUAACAUGUAAGAGUUGCCAGGUAGAAUGCAGAACAUUUAAUAAAAUUUGAAUCCCAGAUAAACAAUGAACUUUUAGUAUAAGACUAUCAAAAAUACUGCAUGAGAAAUACUUUCACUAAAAUUAUGUAUCUGAAAUUCAAAUUUAACUGGUAUUCCAAAUGUGUAUUUGCUAAAUAUUAUAACCUUAAUAUAACAGAAGUAUUAACCGAGAAGUGCUUCAUAAUAUAGGUCUAUAUCACUUUUCACAAUAGAUAUGCCAAUGAAAAGUGAUAUGAUAAAAUGCUAUUUUUAAUAAAAUGACAUUUUAAAUGUUUUUGAGCAUCUACAAUGUAUAAAUCCACUGGGGAAAAAAUUGGCAUAUUUUCAAAUCAAGCCCAGAGCUGAUUCUUUUUUAAAAUAUGUAAUAUUUAUAUGAGUUUAAAGCAACAGUAUUAAAAUGGUUUCUGCUCCCAUUUAUAUUUUAGGUGAGGUUUUAUUUCAAUCAAAUACUAAAUAUACCCAGAUCAGAGUAUAACACACAACUUCCCUCAAUUUUAGCAGAUAUGAGUCCCAAGGAGACAUCUCUCCACCUAUUCAAUUUAAUUCUUAUUUAGCACGAUAGUGACAUUAUAAAGCUCUUGACUACUAUCUCCUUGUGGAAUUUUCUUUUAUGCUUUCCCAUUGAGAACAUUCUAUUCCAUUUCUUAAGAGAAAUAUUAAGAGGAAUUUGGUUCCAGGAAAGAAUAUGUAAUUUUGAAGUGAUUUGAGAAAUAGAUACAUAAAUAAAGCAGAUAAUUGUGUGAGGUAGAUGCAAACAGUAAGCAGUUAUUUACCCUAGGCUUUGUUUUGAUAAUAUAAUUUAUGAGAAUAAUGUUGUAUGUGACUAGAUAAAUGGGUUUCAAGACAGGAUAUGGAUAAACACAGUGACACAUUUGUUUCCUUGAUGUCUUAUUUGUGACAUUGACAGACAAGCACUAUUGAGGUUCAGUCAUACUGAUGAGUAGGCAGCAGACUAAGACAAGAAUGAAUUCUACUAUGCAGAAUGUAGGGUGGAUAACGAUAGUUAGAAAGCCCCUAAUAAUCUAUUUAUCUACUCAAAUUCAUAGAACCAAAGGAAACUUAAAAAGCAUGAAGUCCAAUUCCUUUCUUUAAAUUAAGAUCGUUUUAAUUCAGGGGAAAAAAAAUUUAGAUCAUAUAACUGUCAGAAUCUCAACCUUCCAAUCCCGAUCCACCACUUGGCUGCUAUUCCAUAACACCUCACAGC
rnacentral:lncRNA from 1 species